rnacentral:rRNA from 1 species
UGGGGAAUUUUGGACAAUGGGCGCAAGCCUGAUCCAGCCAUGCCGCGUGCAGGAUGAAGGCCUUCGGGUUGUAAACUGCUUUUGUACGGAACGAAACGGUCUUUUCUAAUACAGAAGGCUAAUGACGGUACCGUAAGAAUAAGCACCGGCUAACUACGUGCCAGCAGCCGCGGUAAUACGUAGGGUGCGAGCGUUAAUCGGAAUUACUGGGCGUAAAGCGUGCGCAGGCGGUGAUGUAAGACAGUUGUGAAAUCCCCGGGCUCAACCUGGGAACUGCAUCUGUGACUGCAUCGCUGGAGUGCGGCAGAGGGGGAUGGAAUUCCGCGUGUAGCAGUGAAAUGCGUAGAUAUGCGGAGGAACACCGAUGGCGAAGGCAAACUCCUGGGCCUGCACUGACGCCCAUGCACGAAAGCGUGGGGAGCAAACA